GAUUAUUCACUUCCCGAGGGGCUCGCGGUCCAUCAGCUUGUUGGUGAGGGUAACGGCCCACCAAGGCGACAACGGGUAGCUGGUCUGAGAGGAUGGUCAGCCACACUGGAACUGAGACACGGUCCAGACACCUACGGGUGGCAGCAGUCGAGAAUCAUUCGCAAUGGGGGAAACCCUGACGAUGCGACGCCGCGUGGAGGAUGAAGGCCUUAGGGUUGUAAACUCCUGUCAAGAGGGAAUAAGCAAGUGAAGGUACCUCUAGAGGAAGGGGCGGCUAAUUCCGUGCCAGCAGCCGCGGUAACACGGAAGCCCCGAGCGUUGUUCGGAUUCAUUGGGCGUAAAGGGUGCGUAGGCGGCGCGGAAAGUCCGGCGUGAAAGGCAGAGGCUCAACCUCUGGACUGCGUUGGAUACUUCCGUGCUUGAGGACUGGAGGGGAGACUGGAAUUCACGGUGUAGCAGUGAAAUGCGUAGAUAUCGUGAGGAAGACCGGUGGCGAAGGCGAGUCUCUGGACAGAUCCUGACGCUGAGGCACGAAGGCUGGGGGAGCGAACAGGAUUAGAUACCCUGGUAGUCCCAGCAGUAAACGAUGUGAGCUUGAUGUGGGGGGAUUCGACCCCUUCCGUGUCGAAGCUAACGCGAUAAGCUCUCUGCUUGAGGAGUACGUCCGCAAGGCUAAAACUCAAAGAAAUUGACGGGGACCCGCACAAGCGGUGGAGUAUGUGGCUUAAUUCGAUGCAACGCGAAGAACCUUACCUGGCCUUGACAUGCAUUGUGUCGUCGGUGAAAGCCGGCUAGUCCUGGAAACAGGACGCUUUGCACAGGUGCUGCAUGGCUGUCGUCAGCUCGUGUCGUGAGAUGUUGGGUUAAGUCCCGCAACGAGCGCAACCAUUGUGGUCAGUUACUAACCGGCUUAGCCGGAGGACUCUGGCCAGACUGCCCUGUCAAACGGGGAGGAAGCUGGGGACGACGUCAAGUCAGUAUGGCCCUUAUGGCCAGGGCUGCACACGUACUACAAUGCCCGGUACAAUGUGAACCGAAACCGCG
rnacentral:rRNA from 1 species